rnacentral:tRNA from 1 species
GCCGGGAUAGCCAAGCGGAUUACGGCGCAGGCUUGGAGAGCCUGUAACACUGUGUGUUGCGUGAGUUCGAAUCUCACUCCCGGCG